CAUAGAGCAAGAACUGCUAUGCUUUAUGUUGUCUAUGACACAUAAAUUGUGCAGUGUACAGUUAAAAGCACAAUCCAUCUGUACUUUGGAAUCACAGGGACUUUUCUGUGGAAUAAAAUGGAUAUAACAAGUGGAGCUGCUGAUGUUCUUCAUUAGGUCAGGCAAUGUGUGGAGUUUGCCAGCCUCUGCAAGCAGAAAACACAGCCACUGCCCUUGGGAAGGCGAAGAAUACAGCUGUCACUGGAAAAAUACCUCAUCUUCUCCCAGGAUGCAGCCCUCAUAUCUGGCUAUCCAUCAAAAUAUAUCCAUGAAGCAGAGAAUGCCUUCAAAACAGGGAGCGCUUUAGUGACCAAUUUUCUGCUGACAUGAGACAAGGAUCAGCUUGGCAGAUGCUGCCUAUGAUUCUCCUCAUCUUUCUAGAGAGGAUGACUGAUGCUCUACAAAGGAGGAUCUUCAUCUCUAGCACUUUGUCAUCUUGAGAUGAAUAUAGAAUAUAUUACCUUGCUUCUAUCAUUAAAAGGAGUAUAUGCUGUAA